rnacentral:rRNA from 1 species
AACAUGCUCCAAAGUGAGGAAUAACUGCCCGAAAGGGUAGCUAAUGCCGCAUAUGAUCUUCGGAUUAAAGGAUUUAUCCGCUUUGGGAGUGGCCCGCGUACGAUUAGGUAGUUGGUGAGGUAAAGGCUCACCAAGCCCACGAUCGUUAACUGGUCUGAGAGGAUGAUCAGUCAGACUGGAACUGAGACACGGUCCAGACUCCUACGGGAGGCAGCAGUGAGGAAUCUUCCACAAUGGGCGAAAGCCUGAUGGAGCGACGCCGCGUGCAG